rnacentral:rRNA from 1 species
UGGGGAAUAUUGCACAAUGGGGGAAACCCUGAUGCAGCGACGCCGCGUGAGUGAAGAAGUAUUUCGGUAUGUAAAGCUCUAUCAGCAGGGAAGAUAAUGACAGUACCUGACUAAGAAGCCCCGGCUAACUACGUGCCAGCAGCCGCGGUAAUACGUAGGGGGCAAGCGUUAUCCGGAUUUACUGGGUGUAAAGGGAGCGUAGACGGAAUGGCAAGUCUGAAGUGAAAUACCCGGGCUCAACCUGGGAACUGCUUUGGAAACUGUUGUUCUAGAGUGUUGGAGAGGUAAGUGGAAUUCCUGGUGUAGCGGUGAAAUGCGUAGAUAUCAGGAAGAACACCGGAGGCGAAGGCGGCUUACUGGACAAUAACUGACGUUGAGGCUUGAAAGCGUGGGGAUCAAACAGGAUUAGAUACCCUGGUAGUCCACGCUGUAAACGAUGAAUACUAGGUGUCGGGGUACAAAGUAUCUCGGUGCCGUCGCUAACGCAAUAAGUAUUCCACCUGGGGAGUACGUUCGCAAGAAUG